AGCCGCGGUAACACCAGCUCCACAAGCGUAUAUUAAUGUUGUUGCAGUUAAAAAGCUCGUAGUUGGAUAUCUGUCAUGGUGGGCCUGGCCCAAUGACCGUUUGGUCGUUGUGUGCCGGCAGUCUUCGGACGUGCUCGCUUGACAUCCUUCAGGAGAACCGUUCUGCCAUUAAUUUGGUUGGGGCGAGGAUCCUGAUCGUUUACUUUGAACAAAUUAGAGUGUUUAACGCAGGCUUUUGUCGCGAAUAGAUUAGCAUGGAAUAAUAAGAUAGGACUUCGGCACCGCUUCUGGUCGAUAUCUAUUUUGUGGUUUCUAGAGCUGAAGUAAUGAUUGAUAGGGAUAGUUGGGGGUGCUUGUAUUGCCGGG
rnacentral:rRNA from 1 species